UACGUGAGAGGCAAGCGUUAUUCGUCAUUAAUGGGUCUAAAGGGUACGUAGGCUGUAUAAUUAAUUUCUAAUUAAUAACACGUUAUAGUGUGCUUUAUAUUGUUAUACUAGAGUCUAAGGGAGUGACAAAAGCUUUAAGAAGAGGGUAUUAAUACAAAGAAAACUUAAGGAAUUACGAAGCGGCGAAAAGCAUGUGACUACGGAGACUGACGCUGAGGUACGAAGGCAAGGGUAG
rnacentral:rRNA from 1 species